GCUUGCCUCCAUCACACACACACUAACAUCGGAACAAUACAGUGAAGAUUAGUGCGGCCCCUGCCCGAGGGAGACAGCCAGAUGAGUGAAGUCAUCCAGUUUACU
ensembl:snRNA U6 U6 spliceosomal RNA